CCUACGGGUGGCAGCAGUGAGGAAUAUUGGUCCAUGGCCGAGAGGCUGAACCCGCCAAGUCGCGUGAGGGAAGACGGCCCUACGGGUUGUAAACCUCUUUUGUCGGGGAGCAAAGAGAACCACGUGUGGUUCAUUGAGCGUACCCGAAGAAAAAGCCUCGGCUAACUCCGUGCCAGCAGCCGCGGUACUACGGAGGAUGCGAACGGUAUCCGGAUUUAUUGGGUUUAAAGGGUGCGCAGGCGGAGUUGCAAGUCAGCGGUCAAAUUGCGGGGCUCAACCCCGUACUGCCGUUGAAACUGCAGCCCUUGAGUGCGCGAGAAGUAUGCGGAAUGCGUGGUGUAGCGGUGAAAUGCAUAGAUAUCACGCAGAACUCCGAUUGCGAAGGCAGCAUACCGGCGCGCAACUGACGCUCAUGUACGAAAGCGUGGGUAUCGAACAGGAUUAGAUACCCGUGUAGUC
rnacentral:rRNA from 1 species